CUUGGAGGAGGUCCUUAGCUUGACGCCUUACCAUUGGCGGUUGGCAACCUCUCUAUCAGUUGAUUGGAGAGAGUGCAUGUCCAUCAAGGUCACGCUUGAGACUAGCAGAGGCGAAACCAGCGGGAAGACGACUUCGCCACCAAGGGCGGGCGGGCCUGCUGGGAUACUCCGGGUGAGUGGGACGCACUGGGCGGGGUUUCGCCGUUCCGAGGAUGUCGGGGAAGGGGGGUCACUGCCAGAUGGAGGUUCCGGUUCCGGUGCAGUGUCUGGCUGGUUGCGUUGCUACGGCAGCGCGGUUGAGCGCUCUCGUCUGUGUGAUCGGGGCUUCGCUGACUUUCCGGCCUACUUAAGCCCCUGGGCCUGGGCCCAGGAAGGGUUUGUUGAACCGGGAGCUAAGAAGGGAAUUGGCUCGUUCGACAGACGUUUUCUGCGCAGCUGUGGCGUGCAAGGCACGGGGCCGGUGCGGGACCUCCAGAGAGACCUGUGCCCAAAGCUUGAGAAAUGAGAAGCAGUACCUAGAACAGUGCUUGGAACGUGGCGGGUGCACAUAUUGGUGGAAAGAACGAUUCCCGGGAGAGCGGGGCUCAGCGACAUCGCCAAGUGAUCUGUAGUCUUGGAGCCGCCCAGGGUUGGUGGUACCCUAGAGCACACCAGACUUGCAGAGAAAGCAGACUCAGAGGAAGCUGAGGCAUAACUGCUCAAGAGCCAGCAGUACGAUGUGCAAUUUUCCUCUGAUAGUUCCUGGGUACUGUUGCCACGGUGAUAAUGGCUGUGCCAGUGCCGUUAUCUAUCAACCGACA
rnacentral:lncRNA from 1 species